rnacentral:rRNA from 1 species
GGUUAAGCGACUAAGGGUACACGGUGGAUGCCCUGGCAGUCAGAGGCGAUGAAGGACGUGCUAAUCUGCGAUAAGCGUCGGUAAGGUGAUAUGAACCGUUAUAACCGGCGAUUUCCGAAUGGGGAAACCCAGUGUGAUUCGUCACACUAUCGUUAACUGAAUACAUAGGUUAACGA